rnacentral:rRNA from 1 species
AUUGAACGCUGGCGGCAUGCCUUACACAUGUAAGUCGAACGGUAACGGGCCUUCGGGUGCCGACGAGUGGCGAACGGGUGAGUAAUGUAUCGGAACGUACCUUUCAGUGGGGGAUAACGUAGCGAAAGUUACGCUAAUACCGCAUAUUCUGUGAGCAGGAAAGCAGGGGAUCGCAAGACCUUGCGCUGAUUGAGCGGCCGAUAGCAGAUUAGCUAGUUGGGGAGGGAAAGGCUCACCAAGGCGACGAUCUGUAGCGGGUCUGAGAGGAUGAUCCGCCACACUGGAACUGAGACACGGUCCAGACUCCUACGGGAGGCAGCAGUGGGGAAUUUUGGACAAUGGGGGCAACCCUGAUCCAGCCAUGCCGCGUGAGUGAAGAAGGCCUUCGGGUUGUAAAGCUCUUUCGGCCGGGAAGAAAUCGUAUCAGCUAAUACCUGGUGCGGAUGACGGUACCGGCAUAAGAAGCACCGGCUAACUACGUGCCAGCAGCCGCGGUAACAC